CACACGUGCUACAAUGGUUGGUACAACGAGUUGCGAGUCGGUGACGGCGAGCUAAUCUCUUAAAGCCAAUCUCAGUUCGGAUUGUAGGCUGCAACUCGCCUACAUGAAGUCGGAAUCGCUAGUAAUCGCGGAUCAGCACGCCGCGGUGAAUACCGGUUCCCGGGCCUU
rnacentral:rRNA from 1 species